CCGACGCAGAGUCGCUGUAAUAAAUGCUCGGGAAGUUAUAGAGAGAAAGGAUACGAUCCCAGUGAUUAAUGCCAAAGCCCUGUUGCCUGUGGAGAGGGUGAUGCUUGACUUUCUUGUACAGCUGCAGUUUGUGUGGUGAAGGUGCUCCCACAAUGUGGUUGGGAUACUACAGGUGGACAUUCAGAUGGUAAUCUCAGUCAUUGUAACACCAAACUCUGAUUGAAUUAGUCAAUUCAUCAGGACCUGGAUAUUCGCAUUGUGUGUGCAGAGAUGGCCAUUCGUACAGUGAUGUGCUCUUCCUGUUGGAUGUGGGAGAUUAAGGAAGGUUUCAAUGAUCUGAUUGU